UACGGGGGGAGCAAGCGUUGUUCGGAUUUACUGGGCGUAAAGGGCGCGUAGGCGGCCACCGCAAGUCGGUUGUUAAAUCUCUGGGCUUAACCCAGAAAGGUCAACCGAUACUGCGGGGCUAGAGUGCAGAAGGGGCAACUGGAAUUCUCGGUGUAGCGGUGAAAUGCGUAGAUAUCGAGAGGAACACCUGCGGCGAAGGCGGGUUGCUGGGCUGACACUGACGCUGAAGCGCGAAAGCUAGGGGAGCGAACGGG
rnacentral:rRNA from 1 species